UCCUUAACAAUUCCAUAGAAUUGCUUUGUACGCGCUUUUACAAAACACACGCACUAACUCCUCUUACUUCUCUUUUCUUCUCAAAUCAAAAGCAAACAACCAGAACUCUUCAUUAUUUCUCAAAAAAAAAAAUUGAAGGAUAUGGAAGAAACUCUUUUUGCACAGAUCUAUUUAAUCAUGAAAAUAGAUCUUGUUAUGCUACUUCUUCUUCUAUCCUUUUUCCUUUUUUUUUUUUAAUUUACAAAAGAAAAUCUCUCUGUUCUUUAAUAGAAGAGAAAAAAAAUUGUUGAUCCAUGUAGCGCGUCUGACAGAUUGGAAGGCUAUUAAUCCGAUUUUUGUCAGGACCAAAAUCUCGAUCUACAACCGGUUCUGCUAUCUUUCUAACAGGAUCUAAGGCACAAUUCCGGGGUCCCAUUAAGGAGUAGAGUUGUUUGGUCAGAAGUUGCAGUUUGUGAGCCUCCCUUAUUUUGGAAGGCCUAGUUAUGAGUUAUUGUUAUUUUAUUUUGAUUCAUGGUUCGAUUGGGGGCCUUGUCCUAGUUUUACUACAUAUGUUAGUUCUUGUAUUGUUAGAGAUUUCGCAGAUUGGUGUCAUGUGUUUUGAAUGUUAAGAAUGUCAUACCCCAUUUUAACACAGGUCAAACCGAGGUAUUACAACAUAUUGAAAAACUUCUGAUUAAAUUGAAGAA